ACUCAACGUUAAUUCUUUAAAAAGGGUGAGUUUAAGUUGUAAAAGCAUGCUGCAUCUGCUGAAUUUAUUUCAGUACCUAGCAGAUCCUUGAUCAGCUUGUUAGCCCUAAACUUGUUUUUAAGGAGUUU
rnacentral:sRNA from 1 species